GAACAUCACUAACUUUGAAAAUCUUCCAAAAAUUAAAUAUUAAUUCAAUUGAUAUAAAAUAAAUGCUCAAAAAUCUCUUUCCAAGUCUGCUCUCAAAUUCUACUCUUUAAUCUCCUAAAGAACCAUAGAGUAGCUGUAGGUACAUAGUUUUGUGCCUUGGAAUCUGAUUUCAACCUAGGUUGACAACUGGUCCUCUCUGAGUAUCAAUAUUUAGUAAUUUGAGGUAAUUUUUCCUUAAACCUAUUGAUAACUUCUUUUUAAACAUGUCUAUAUUAAAUACUUAUCUCAUUUACUUUGAAUUGAGGCAUUUAUGCCCCUAUAAAGCAAAUAGUAGCCCCUUAUUUGAAAGGCAGCAUUAAGACUAAACUUUUUAUUACCUUCCUAUCAUUUAUCCUUGUUUUUCUACCACAUCUUUCUACUAGGCUCUUCUAUAACAAU
rnacentral:lncRNA from 1 species